rnacentral:rRNA from 1 species
AUUGAACGCUGGCGGCAGGCCUAACACAUGCAAGUCGAGCGGAGCGGCGGACGGGUGAGUAAUGCUUAGGCAUCUGCCUGGUAGUGGGGGAUAACGUCCGGCAACUGGCGCUAAUUCCGCAUACUAUCCGAUGAGCCUAGGUCGGAUUAGCUGGUUGGUGGGGAAAAGGCCUACCAAGGCGACGAUCCGUAACUGGUCUGAGAGGAUGAUCAGUCAAACUGGAACUGAAACACGGUCCAGACUCCUACGGGAGGCAGCAGUGGGGAAUAUUGGACAAUGGGCGAAAGCCUAAUCCAGCCAUGCCGCGUGUGUGAAGAAGGUCUUCGGAUUGUAAAGCACUUUAAGUUGGGAGGCGGUACCAACAGAAUAAGCACCGGCUAACUUCGUGCCAGCAGCCGCGGUAAUAC